ACAUUGCGAUUGGUUUAAUCAUUUAUUUUGUCUGUAAUUCAUUUAUCUGAUAUUCUUAAUUAUUCGUGUUGAAUUAAAUCACGUAUCUUUUAAACCACGUACAAAUUUAAUUUUUACCUAAUUUUAGGGUAAACACUAGUGACUAUAAACUACUACAAAAGACUUAUUUUCGUUCCUUCUUGGUAUAUACUAUAUGUUGUCACCUUUGGUAUCAAAAUUGGAUUUCAAGGUAAAGCAACGUGUUUCUCGACGGACACGAACAUGUUGCCUUUUUGGUUCAAUUCCAUUAUCAUUGCUCAAAAUUCGUGUUUUAUGGUGGUCUCGUCCUGAAUAAUGAUGGCUGCUCAGCAUUUUAGAUGGUAGUCGCGCUUCAUUGAUUUGAUAUACCUGUAUGGCAAAAUAGUUAAAAGAAAAUAGUUAUCCAUCUAUAUAAUUUAUUAAAAAAUAGGUUGAAUAAUAAACUUUUUAAAAAUGGGUCAAAUAUGAAUAAAAAUCAUAUUAUUCACUUAGAAAAUAGAUAACUAAUGAGUUUAACUUUUAUAUUUGUAAAGUCUCAAAUUGGGGACUCCUCAAGUUUGAGAUAUUAUGAAUUCUCCCAAAAGUGAUCAUAUUCAAGAAGUCAUGGAUAAUAUGGAUAUCCAUAUUAUUCAUCAGUUAAUCCGUAUUAAAUAUGAGUCGGAUCGGAUAAUUUAUCCGAUUUUUACAUUACCCAUUUUUGACCGGACCAUAUCCAACCCGACCCGCCUGUUUGUCACCCCUGCCUGCGCAUAUCAACAAGUAAACCAAGGUUAAUUUGAUUGGAAUACUAGUUUUGAUCCAAGUUGUAUUCGUUAAUUAAAUUAUUUUUGUUUAGCAUAUAGGAUACAAAAUUUAUUGCUUGCAGAUUUUCGUUAUUCACCUUUGGGGAGUUCUUUUUUCAAUUGUUCUACAUCUAUAUAUAUGAAAGGCAGGAAGGUCCAAUGUGAGAUUUUUUAUCGAGUGAGAAUCUACUUGCAAUAUUUAGCACCUUCAUAGAAAUUAGUUAUUUUAAAAAACUACAAUUUCAGUUAUGUUCGUUUUUUGUAGUUAAAAAUAUCUUAAAAUGUUUUGAAAGAUCAUAAUGAAAAAUAAAGAAAGGGAAAAAGAGGUUUGUAAUUUUUGUUCCAAUCCAUAUGUUUCGUUGUCUACUCCAUUUGAUCUCACCAAAUCUUUGGGCGAAUGUUUACCUGUAAAACGGUAAAGUUGAAUUUGUUCGUAAUUUUUAGACAAGUGAAUUAAUUUGAUCCAAAAAAUAAUGAAAUAACUGAUGAAAUAUAAAAUAUUUAGCCUUAAAAUGUAGAUGAAACGACAGAGCGGAUGAGUCCGAGAACAGGGUUUCCGGGCACAAUAAUAAUGAGAUCAAAAACAAGAAAGUAAAUAAUAUUAAGCUCUGUAUAGAGUGUAGUAUAACUUUGCUAGAAAAUUCGUGUCCUUUACAAUGAAAACUACGCUCUCUAUUUAUAGUUAUGUCUAGGGAAGGAGGUCCUAGGAUCAUGCCCUUCUUUAAUGUCAAUUAUGAGGGCCAGAUGAAGAUGUAACGGUAGACAUAAAUAUCAAAUUUCCUGUAACGGGUCAUCAUCCUUAAUGCUACAAAGCAUUUAAUACUCCUUUUAUGAUCGUUAUUCCUUCCGGUGACAAGCGGAAUAGCUAUGUUUGGCGGCUAUCUUCAUCUUGGGUUCCACGUGUCCUUCCUUUAAGUGGCCACGUAUCAUGUCGUAUUUUUUCCUAUGCAGAUAGUCCCCCUGCUUUCCGGUGACACAAUCUUGUGUUAUCGGAAAGUUGGUAGAAAUACUUCUUUUGGCGGGAAUUACUAUAACUCCCUCUGCAGUCUUCUGACGGUUAAUUUGACGCACGUCUCUCCGCACUUAAUGCUCUGAACACGUGUCAACCCAUAAUUUAGCAUAGCUUUUGCCGUUUAUCGAGGUAAUCAAGGCCAUGAAUUUAGCCGCCAAAACUUUACUUAUACGCAUCAUCCUCCUCUUAUGUACUUCAUAAUUUCUCAAUUUUCUAACUUGCAUCUUUAUUUCCCAACUUUUCUCUAAUCCUCUUCGAACCAGAAAUUUUCCUUCCUUCUAUUCCAAUGGCUUCCUCUUCAAAAUGUGCUAGUUCUUCAAAGGGCAAGAACAAAGCUGAGGACUCUGCGACGGUGGGUUCCAUCAUCCCAAGGAAGUUUAACACUACAAAGGAUUUUGAAAAAAAAUUUCCUACUACUAAUUCUCGUACAUGUGCUGUUAGUAGGUAUCUUUCUUCCAUCCGUCCUUCCAAUAUUCCAACUAUGAACGAAGAUUGCCGCUGUCAUGAAUUGGACAUCAUUGCUCCUAGCCUAUAGGAGCGAGUGACCCUUCUCACGGAAGGAUUUACAUAUUUUUAUACUUAUACCUUUACUUUGGGUGCGUUUUCUUUGAGCGGAUAGCUUGAUCCCGUGAUUGCGUAAUUUUGCCUUCGCUACCAAGUGUGUUUGGCACAGGUAAGCCCUUCAGUAUGGAGGAUGGUUUCCUGCCUUCGACGCCUGUGCCAGAAAACUGAGAAAAAGCUAUCAUUAGCUUGUAUAAUGAACCUUUAUUCCCCCAAGAUUUUUCGAGGAUGUAUGAUAAACCUCUACAAACAUGACUACCAUGCUCUGUUGACUAGCAUGGAUGAUGACAACGACCAUGGGUAGAUAGAAUGGUUCAUUGCAACUGCCACCAAUAAUAUUAUUCCGUCAGCGGCAUCAUCCUCUCCAAGUGCUUGGAAUCGUACUCGUAAGAUUUCCUUUAAAUAUAUUUUCUCUUAAUAAAAAUUCUUUCAUGCAUGUAUUGAUCCUUCAACCUUCUAUGUUACAGCAACUCAAUAGAUCCCACCGGUGGGUUCAAAAGAUCUUGGACGUUACGACGUCCGAGACUCGCUUAUGGAAAAAACUGGCCCUUAAGUACGAGUUGAGGGCUAAAAGUCAUGGUAACUUUAAUUUACCUUAUUUUUGUUUUAUAUGUGAAGAAGUUGGUUGAACCCUCCUAACUUUGUUCAUGACAUUAGGUCUACUUGUGGGCUCAGUUGAUGUCCCGGGGGAGGAUUCUUUGGCUGACCCUGCUGAUGCGGCGGGGCUGCUUUAGGAGAAACUUACUCGAACAUGCAUCUCCCAGACUGCUUCGGGCACAAACGUUUCUUCACGGAGUCACCGGCCAGAGAACAAGCAACCAAAGAGAAGACGUUCCUCUAUGGCCGAGGAAAAGAAUAAGAGGGCAAAGACUGGUACCCACAAAUUAUCUCCGGUGGCGAAUGUGACUGGUUCCCCUUCCGGGCUGGUCAUAGACACUGUGAUGAUUGAUGACAAUGAAGAAGCUAGUGAUGAGAGAGCUUCUCUACACAGAAGGCGACGAUCCUCAUCGUCUCAACAAGAUGCUCGACCUGUUGAGGCAGUUUCACCAAUCGAGGACGAUUUCUCGGCAUUGUGGGGAGAGUUUGACUUGGUAGAUAAUGCCAAUUACUGUUUUCGAGCCCCAGUUGUUGUGUCCGGUACUACAGGGCUGAGUAUCGGAUCCCUGCCAUCUUUGGUUGGAGAGUAUCCUCCCACCAGCACUGCAUUUGAUGCUGCUGCUUCUCAUCCUUCGGCUCCAUCGGCUUCAUCUCCGUCUUCACCAUCACCAGCAAGUGCUACAUCAUUUCCAUCUUCAUCCAUUCCUCCACUAGCAAUUGCUACAUCAUCUCCACCGGCCUCAUCCAACCACGGAGAGGGUACUCCUCUUCCCCAAUCCCAGUUCAUGGGAAUUUGGGGCAAAAUUAUGCUGCCCCUUCUGAGGAUCCACAGAGGAGGAUGAGUGUUACCCUUUCGGUCUCCACCGGGUACAACCUGCUCUCGAGGUCGGUGGAGCUUGCUAACUAUCCGAAGCCAUUGGCUUCAGAGAAAGACUAGGAAAAUAUCCAAGCACUUUUGGGAGAGUGUUUGUUGAACAAUGCCAUGCAUAAUACCGCAGUGGUGCGCCCCUUUCAACCUUUGCUAUUUCUUUGACUUUUGCAUGAAUUUGUACUAAAUUUUAUUUAUCUUAUUUUUUAGGCCAACUUUCUUGCUUCCGAGGGCCUACAGAGGUUGAUUCGUGAGAAAGAGGAACUUACUUCUAAACAGAAUCAGCCUUUGGAGAAACGUGACCAAACUAUUCUCCGCCUCUUGGAACUGGAAACCAAAGCUACUGAGGCAGUUAUUUUGGAGGCUCGCUUGCAGCAAAGAGAGCAAGAAGUGAUAACCCUUAGCUAAGAGAUUGGCCCGCUGACGGUUAGAUUUGAUGAAGACAAGUCCAAAUGGGCUGAAGUCCAGAACGCCAUUCUUGCUGCAACCGAGCGCGAGGCUGCCAUUGCCGAAAAAGUGUCUGAAUUAGAAGUAGCCUUGAACUCCAAAAUAUAAGAUCUUGAUACUAUGGAGGCAAAGCAUGCCAGUUGGAAGAGAGGUACAGAAAAACUAUCGAGCAUAAUAGGCUCUUUAGUUCAACUGUCCUCGACCUUGAUGUUAGCCUCCAAUCUGUUAGGUCCGCCCGGGAUAGGCUCUCUGAUGAAGAAACCCAACUCAAAGAGAAAGUCAAGCGUCGAGAGGCUUCCCUCAUUUUUUGAAAAAACUUAUGCCAUGUAUAGCAUGACAAAACCUUGGAAGAGGCCAAAUCAGGCAUCAUUGACUUUGAUGCCGAAAUUGCUAGGGCCCGAGAGCUUGAGUUGGCUACUAAAAAUGGACUCCCAAUGCAGUCUGAUGCUUCUGGUUCCGGUUCCGAGUUUUCAGGGACUGGAGAGGAGUCGGAAGAUGAUGAUGCUGAAGACCAAACCAGGAAAAUUGUUGAGCCAUCGGUGAGCCCACCUGCUUCUCCCGGGGAUGCGGACGCUUCUCUUCCUACUGGUUCCGGAGAUGCUGCAAUUUAGCUUUUUUUUUCUUUUUUCUUAUCUUGUACUUUUUGCACGCAUUUGUAAAUAAAAAUUUUCUUCUGCUUAAUUAUUUUUUGAGUCUUACUUUCAUCUUAUUUUCGUUAUGCUUCUGUUUGAACAUCCAUGCAAAUAUUCAACUUUUGUGUUUGCGUAAGAAUUUUGUGCUCGUUUUCAUUUUGCGCUUUGCUAUGUGUAGUCUCGGAUGCAAAGCAUUAUCCCUUUUACAUGAGGGUUUUUAUAAGUAUUUUCACAAAUUUACCUUUUGCGUCCUUUCUUAUACGUCCUUCGGGUGCAUUUUCCCCAAAAGCGCUUUGAUUUCAUGCACAGACUCUUUCUAAACCAACCCUUUAACAUGAGAGAUUUCAUAAGAUAGGGCUCUCUUAUGUUUACGGUGCUCUUGAAGAGGACGUCUCAUGUUUAUUAUGGUACUAACAUUUGAAGUACUUGUUUAACUUUUAAAUAGCAAAAUUAAUUCAUCGUUCAGACAAGAAACAAGAUAAAAACAAAAGGAUUUUAUGUCUUUUAAUUCCUUCUAUUUUCAAAAGUACAUAAGCAUUUGAUAUGCUGAAAAAAAAUUGCCAUUACUUGUGGCUAUCUUGUACAACUUAUUUCUACGGGGUUGAUUGUGCAGUCUCCGAUCCCGAUGAUGUAUUCUGGUUUUGGAUAUUCGUUCCCCGGUUGACGUGGCAUUCAGUGUUGCCGUAUCCUCAUAUCAUUCCUCCCCCUAGUGUUCGAAUGCAAAGAAUGUGAAUUGGAACACUGGAAGUCUUGCGUCUUCAAAGAUCCCACCAAUGAAUUGCUAGACAAACCUUAACUCGGCAACAAACCUUACUUCCCCUUAGGAAUUCAUGCUAUCGAGUGAAGGAUUAUCUAACAAUCCUCUAGUGGUUUGUUCUCAUGAACGGUCGGGUAACCUUUGUCCUAUAGCAAACUUAACUUCCCAGUGGGAAUUUGCUAUAGAGCCAAAGAUUACCUAACCGUCCCCAAGUGAAGCCUUGCCAUCGAAGAUCUUAUUAUUGUUGUCUUCGCAAUAUGCUUUCUAUCGCUGCCUCAUUAAAAACCUUGCCAAAAAACCCAAUUAGGACAAAAAUUUAACGAAGGAAAAAAGAGUGCAGCAUAUACUUUUCGCUUGGGUAACGUUCAUCAACAGUAAUAUCUUUUGAGGUGUGGCACGUUCCAGUUGCUAGGUAACUUAUCUCCGUUCUGGUUCUCCAACUCGUACGAGCCUUUUCGAGUGAUAGCUGAAAUCCGAUAGGGACCUUCCCACGUUGGGACCAACUUCCCGCAUUAAACUCCCGGGUAUUUUGAGUUAGUUUCCUCAGAACUAAAUCUCCCCCUUUGAAAUAAUGGAAAUUAGCUCUUUGAUUAUAGUAUCACUCCAUUCUCUGCUUUUGAGCCUCCAUUCUUACAUGCGCCAAGUCCCUGCGUUCCUCGAGCAGUUCCAAGUUGAUUAACAUUACUUCGUUGUUAGAUUCUUCUUCCGCCUGGAAAUACCUUAAGGUUGGUUCCUCUACUUCCACCGGUAUCAAAGCUUCUACGCCGUACAGAAGGGAAAAAGGGGUUUCUCCUGUUCUUGACUUGGCCGUUGUUCGGUAGGCCCAUAGAAUCCUAGGUAAUUCUUCGGGCCAAUUGCCUUUUGCUGCUUCCAACCUUUUCUUGAGAUUUUGAAUAAUCACUUUGUUUGUUGACCAUGUUUGACCAUUUGCGCUCAGAUGAUAGGGUGAAGAGGUGAUCCUCUUUAUCUUCAAAUCUUCAAGGAACUUUGUAGCUUUUGCACGAAAUGCGGCCCAUUGUCGCAUACAAUCUCUUUUGGUAUUCCAAACCUGCAAAUUAUAUUUUCCCACAAGAAGUUGAUCACCUCGCGUUCUCCGAUCUUCUAAUAAGGACCUGUUUCCACCCAUUUAGAAAAAUAGUCAGUCAAAAUAAAAAGAAACCUUACCUUUCCAGGAGCCGGUGGUAGCGGUCCGACGAUGUCCAUCCCCUAUUUCAUGAACAUCCACAGGGACAAAAUUGAAUGUAGUGGUUCUGUCAGUUGAUGUACUAGUGGUGCAUAGCGUUGGCACUUAUCACAUUUUUGUACGAAAUUUUUGGCAUCUUGUUCCAUACGGGGCUAGUAAUAUCCUGCCCGAACUAAUUUCAGCACCAAAGAAUCUGUACCCGAGUGAUUGCCGCAUAUCCCUUCAUGGACUUCUCUCAUGACAUAGCUAGCUUCUGAUGCUCCUAAACACCGGGCCAAUGGGCCUUGAAAGGAUUUUCUGUACAAUGGGCCUUUCUUGAACCUAUAACGUGCAGCUUUGGCACGUAACGCUCUUGAUGCUUUGGGGUCUUCGAGCAACUUUCCAUGCUCGAGAUAGUCGAUUAUUUUGUUUCUCCAGUCCCAGACCAAACUAUUCGAAUUCACCUCAUAGUAACUAUUUGUGUCCAAGAUUGAGUUCAUCAGUUGUACUAUUGUCCAUGAUUCUGAUCCCUGUAUUUAUGUCGAUGAGCCCAAAAUUGCCAAUGCAUCUGCUUUCGCGUUUUCUUCCCUCGGGAUAUGAGUAAUUGACCACUCCCAGAAUCGUUCCAAUAAAGUCUAAACUUUUACCGCGUAUUGUUUCAUACGUUCCUCUUUGGUGUCAAAAAUUCUGUAGACCUGAUUUACCACCAACUGCGAAUCAUAUUUGAUUUCGAUGACUUCGGAAUCAAGCUCCCGGGCCAAUUCGAGCCUUGCAAUCAAAGCUUUGUACUCUGCUUAAUUGUUAGUUAAAGGAAUCAUUCUGAUGGCUUGCCUUAAGGUUUCUCCCAAAGGCGUGAUCAAGACUAUUCCGAGCCCAGACCCUUUUAUGUUUGAGUCUUCAUCCGUAAAUAAGGUCCAAACUCUCGAUGUUGUAUCUGACACCAUUAUUGCCUCCUUGGCUGCUAGAGGCAAUAGUCCCGGAAUGAAAUUGUCCACGAAGUCAGCUAAGACUUGUGACUUAAUUGCAGUACUCGGUUUAUACUCUAGAUCGAACUCGCUCAUUUCGACGGCCCAUUUGGCCAAUCUACCCAAGAGCUCGGGUUUAUAGAGGAUAUUUCUUAAAGGGAAAGUAGUCACCACACCUAUCGGGUAGCAUUAGAAGUAGGACCUCAACUUUCGAACGGCGACUACGAGAGCUAAGGCCAACUUUUCCAGAUGUGAGUACAGAGUUUCUGCUCCCGUUAAAAUUUUGCUUACGUAAUAAAUGGGAGAUUGCAUUCUUUCAUACUCUCGGACUAAAAUUGUACUUAUCGCAACUUCUGAGACCGCGAGGUAGACUAGCAAUGUUUUACCUUCUUUUGGUUUUGAGAGCAACGGGGGGCUUCACUAAUAUUUCUUCAACUCCUUCAAGGCUUGUUGACACUCCUAUGUCCAUUCGAAAUUGUUUUUCUUUUUGAGUAGUGCGAAGAAGCGAUGACAUUUUUUCGAUGAUCGGGAAAUGAACCUGCUCAAACCUACCAAUCUCCCUGUGAGCCUCUGGACUUCUUUUACGUUAGACAAUUUAUCCGGGAUGUCCUCUAUGUCCUUGAUUUUGUCGGGAUUUACCUCAAUUCCCCCUUGUGAGACUAGGAAUCCUAGGAACUUACCCGAACUAACCCCGAACGCACAUUUCUCGGGGUUAAGUUUCAUAUUAUGCUCCCUCAGGAUGUCGAAUGUUUCUUGCAAAUACUUCAGGUGGUCACCUGCAUUCAAAGACAUAAGGAGCAUAUCAUCUAUAUAUACUCCAUAGUCUUUCCUAUUUGUUUUUCAAACAUCUUACUCACGAGUCGUUGAUAAGUGGCUCCAACAUUUUUUUAACCCGAAAGGCAUCACAUUGUAACAAUACGUACUAAAAUUCGUUAUAAACGAAGUCUUUUCCUGGUCUUCUAGGUUCAUCUUGAUAUGAUUGUACCCAGAAAAUGCAUCGAGGAAACUCAUUAACUCGUGCCCGCCGUGGCAUCAAUCAUUUAAUCGAUAUUUGGCAAUGGGAACAAGUCUUUUGGGCACGCCAUAUUAAGAUCCUUAUAAUCUAUGCACAUGCGAAAUUUAUUAUUUUUCUUAGGAAAUGCUACUACAUUGGACAAGAGUGGGUUGCUCUAGUGGUGAGCACCCUUCACUUCCAACCAAGAAGUUGUGAGUUCGAGUCACUCCAAGAGCAAGGUGGGGGGGUUCUUGGAGGGAGGGAGCCGAGGGUCUAUCGAAAACAGCCUCUCUACCCUAGGGUAGGGGUAAGGUCUGCAUACACACUAUCCUCCACAGACCCUGCUAGUGGGAUUAUACUGGGUUAUUGUUAUUGUUGUUGUUGUUGGCUAGCCAGACUGGAUAUCUUACCUCUCGGAUUGAAACAAUAUUAAGUAAACGGGUUACCUCUUCUUUGACGAAUUUAUUCCUUGCUUCAGCAAUAGGGCGCUUCUUUUGUCUUACCGGAGGUAUGUUGGGAUCUAAGAUUAACUUGUGUACGACUAUCUCCGUUGGGACUCCUGUCAUAUCCUCGUGUGACCAUGCAAAACAAUCGGUGUUUAUUUUAAGGAAUUCAAUAAAAGCAGACCUGAGCUCCGGGUGUAGUCCUGUUCACAAAUGGAAUUUCCUUUCUAGGAAUUCUUCGAACAAUGCAACUUUCCCUAGUUCUUCUGUCGUGGAAUUCGUCGCGUCCGUCUCUUCUGGUACUUGAAAAUACCUUGGUACUUGAUAUGGUUCCAACUCUUCUGUCCCCUGGCUAACUUCCUCUGGUUUGGGGGAAGGUACUGGUUCCAGUAAUUGCUAUGUCGCAAGUUCCUUUCCUUUUCUACUGGAGAUCGAAAUUGCAUUCAUCUCCCUUGUUGUAGGUUUAUCGCCCCUUAUCUGUUUGAUCCCCUCGGGUGUCGGAAGCUUUAACAAUUGAUGAUAUGCUGAAGGCACAACUUUCAUCUCAUGCAACCAUGGUCUUCCCAAGAUGAUAUUAUACCUCAUGUCUCCAACUACCACUUCGAAGAGAGUUGUCUUCAUUACUCCCUCAGUAUUCGUGAGCAAUAAAAUUUCUCCUCGGGUUGUCACGCUUACAAAGUUAAAUCCAGCGAGGAGUUUUGUUGCCGAGAUAAUGCUUUCGGUGAGUUUAGCUUGCUUCAGUGCUCUCCAUUGUAUGAUAUUAGCUGAACUUCCUGGAUCUACUAAGACACGUUUAAUUUUAAAAUCUAACACAUUUAAAGAAAUUACCAGUGUGCGGUAACAGCAAUCGGUAUGCAUCUUUGUCCGUAAAUGUGAUAUCAUCUUCCCGGAGCCUUUUACUAUGAGUUAUUGAUACUUUUGUCUUCUUUGUUUCCGAAAAGGUGACCCCAUUAAUCUCAUUCCCUCCGAAGAUCAUGUUGAUCAUUUGGCAUGGGGGUUCUUCUCUUGCUUUCGAGGGUUCCGCGUCACCUCUAUUCAGGCCAUAAUUAUUUUUAGCUCGGUCACUCAAGAAUUCUCUGAGAUGAAAUUCUUUAACAGUGUUGCCACUUCUUCCCGGAGGUGUCUGCAGUCCCUAGUCCGAUGGCCGUUAGUACCAUGGUAUUCACACCAUAAGUUAGGAUCCCUCUAGGUGGGAUCAGAUCUCAUAAGUCUCGGGAAUUGUGCCUCUUUGAUAUUUCUCAUGGCUGACACCAGCUCCACUACACUGACGUUGAAGUUAUACUCUGAUAACUUUGGGUAAGAAGACUCUCGCGACCCCGAGAUUUCUUUUUCUUGCAGCUAUCUAUUGUUCCGGCCACUAUCGGUCCUUCUAUUAACAGUGAACUUGUCUACUGUCUGGAAGCUCCUGCCACGACCUUCGGUCCGCUCGUAGGGCAAAAAUAGGCCCUUCGAAGUCCGUCUAUCCGUGUCGUUAUCAUCUUUUAUUUUUUCUAUGUUCUUUUCUCGUCCUAUGGUCGACGAUGAAAAGCCAACCUGAUCUUCUUCGAUUCUUAUUUUUGACUCGUACCGGUUGUGGACAUCCGCCCAAGUCAUCGCUUGAAACUCGAACAGACUUUUCUUCAACUUCCGGGAAGAGUCCGAACUUCUCGGAUUUAAACCUUUGGUGAACGCUUCAGCUGCUCAUUCAUCCGGAACUGCGGGUAGUAACAUCCUUUCCUUAUGGAACCGAGUAACGAAGUCUCAUAAUAAUUCGGAUUCUCCCUGCGUGAUCCUGAAUAUGUUGGCCUUUCAGGCUUGUACCUUUCUGGCACCAGCAUGGGCCUUGAUGAAAGAAUCCGCGACUAUCUCAAUGGAAUAUAUAGAAUGCUCGGGUAAUAAUGAAUACCACGUUAAAGCUCCCCCUGUGAGAGUCUCACCAAAUUUCUUUAGCAACACGAAUUCAAUUUCGUGAGGAGCCAAAUCAUUUCCUUUUACUGCCAUCGUGUAAGUGGUAAUAUGCUCAUGAGGAUUCUAAGUUCUGUUAUAUUUUGGAACUUCAUGCAUUUUGAACCGUUUUAGGAUCAAUUCUGGUGCCGCACUCAGCUAGUAUACUUAUUUGAAUCCGGGCCCUUCAUUACUAGUGGCGCGCCCGGGAUUUGGUCCAUGCGGGCUUUUACUUCUUUCAUGAACCGUAAAAGUUCAUUAUUGAACGGGUCGUUCUCGCUGUUGAGACCGGAUCCGCUUCCCCCAGCCCCGUCAGAAUCGACUUCACCCUUGGGAGUAUUGUUGUUGACUCUCUGCAUUGUUUCGUUUUCGGAGAGGAAUUGGAUCUCGCUUGUUUGCAUUAUUCGAAGCCCCCGACAGCGCCUGUUUUAGCUCCGUCAUAACCUUAUCCUGCCGAGUGAGAUGGCCUAGAAUAAUCGCCUAUUGCUCUUGCAAGACGCUUACCGCAUCGAAGACAUGCUCUUCAUUAACAUCAUCGGGAGUUGUUUCCCGAACAUGUCGAGGAUAUUGCAUGUCAUGUAUCGGUGUAGCGUCAUUCCCCUCGUUGUGGUCGUCACAGAUUGAAUCCUAGAAAUGAGGUUGAUCCCCUCGAAAUCCAGGAUUGUGAGUGUUGUUAACAGUAUUGUCUGUCAUUUUUUUGUGAUUUUUUCUAAGACAAAACAAUCAAAGCUUGUUAGUAAAAAAAGUAAGGAUCAAUUUAAUUGCACGACUGUCUAGGCUCCACGGUGGACGCCAAACUGUUUACCCGUAAAAUGGUACAGUUGAAUUUGUUCGUGAUUUUUAGACAAGUGAAUUAAUUUGAUCCAAAAAAUAACGAAAUAACUGAUGAAAUAUAAAAUACUUAGCCUUAAAAUGUAGAUGAAACGACAGAGCUGAUGAGUCCGGGAACAGGGUUUCUGAGCACAAUAAUGAUGAGAUUAGAAGCAAGAAAGUAAAUAAUAUUAAGCUCUGUAUAGAGUGUAGUAUAAGUUUGCUAGAAAAUUUAUGUCAUUUAUAAUGAUAACUGAACUCCCUAUUUAUAGCUAUGUCUAGGGAAGGAGGUUCUAGAAUUAUGCCCUUCUUUAAUGUCAAUUAUGAGGGUCAUUAAUGAAGAUGUAACGGUAGAUAUAAAUGCCAAAUUCCCUUUAACGGGCCAUCAUCCUUAAUGCUGUAAAAUAUUCUGUAUUAAAUGUUACCGGGUGUAAAACAUUUAACACUCCAUUUUAUGAUCGUUAUUCCUUCCGGUGAAAAGCGAAAUAGCUAUGUUCGGUGGCUAUCUCCAUCUUGGGUUCCACGUGUCCUUCAUUUAAGUUGCCAUGUGUCAUGUCGUAUUUUUCCCUAUAUAGAUAGUCCCCUUGCUUUCCGAUGACACAAUCUUGUGUUACCGGGAAGUUGGUAGAAAUACUACUUUUGGCGGGAAUUACUAUAACUCCCUCUACAGUUUUUUGACAGUUGAUUAGAUAAGGAUCGGAUAAGUUACAAAACCGGAUGGCCUUUUGAUUCUCGGUACGUUGCCCCCAGCUCGAGUUAUCCGUUCGGGUAAGAUAGAUCUAGAACUUUAAACCUUUAAGGUUUAAACUUAGAAGAACAUAGCCUCAUGUAGGAUCCCUAGUAGGUACGCUUGUUUGCAUCACGUACAUUAGACUUUUGGGACUCAACACAUGGGUUGAGUCGUCUAGGACAUGUGUACCCGAAAUUAAAAAGACCAUCCUGAUGCAUCUUACGUGCUACUUUUGUAUUUGUUUGAAUUGGUUUGCAUGUUGACUCGCUUCUAGAAUAGGGAAAUAAAAUCAAGAAAAACCGAGAUAUAGAAGGUAGGAGAGAGAAAAUUGAUCGGUUCUAGAACAUCUCGGUAUUUGAAAAAAAAAGAUCCUAGAACUCUAACUAAUUUUAGAAGGAGUUCACAAAUGAGUCCGAAUUUUCAAAAAAUGACAUUUUCCCUCGGUCCUGAAAAACUCGCCGUACUACGCGUGUCUGAUUUUCACCGGAUGUGAGAUACGUAGGCAAACCUUAUCGGUUCCGGCCCCCAAUUUUCAAAAAUCUAGAAAUAUUUUCCUUUAAUUCCUUCUUUAGAAGUCUUUCCUUAGAAAAUCUCAAAUAAAAAAAAUUAACCCAAAAAUAUUUUCUUUCUUUUACAAGUCUUUCAUUCGAAAAGGAAAUAAUAAAUAAAUAAAUCAAUCAAAUCAAGAUUCAUAAAUAUGUUUUUUUUCCUUCUUUAGAAGUUUUUCUCCCAAAAACAAAUCAAAAAUCAAAACCAAAAAUUCAAAAAUAUUUUCUUUGUUCUUUGGAAGUAUUUCUUUCGAAAAUUUCCAAUCAGAAAAAAAAAAUCAAAAUCCAAAAAUAUUUUUCUUGUUAGGAACUUUUACGAUUAGAUUUUUUAAAGAGUUAAAAAAAAGGACGUUAAUUUAUUUACUUUAGACAUGAGACAGAAUUCUAAUUUUCAAUUCAAAACAACGACAGAACCUACGAACAUGAUAUGUGAUACAUAAUAAAAACAAAUUAAAUUAACAUCUGCUUACUGACUUGCGGUAGGUGAACUUAACAUAAACUAGUUUAUCAUUCCAGUUUGGAGAGUUUAAUAUUUAGACGAAAAGAUUGAAAACUGAUCAUUUUUUUCAAUGUCUAUCUCUUAGCUCUAUAUCUUGGAUUACUAAGCUACUGCUAUGAGAUGAAUAGGUGAGUUCAAAUUUAUAGUGAAUCGUAGGAUAGAUUUUGCUUUUCCUAUUUGCUGUAUUGUUGGAUGAAACAGCUUCAUAGAUUUGCUUUUAUAAAUUCAUGAAAAUCCCAGCGGUGUUGGUAUAUUACACAUUAAUUAAAGUGGCCUUCCGAUACAAGAAACUUUUGCAUACUCUCACGGCCUUAAAAAUUAAGUAUUUUUUGCUUUUCUGGAGUCAACAAUUAUUAAAUUUUAGCCAUGAAUCUUCUUAAUAAACUUUUUGAAAUGAAUGAAUUUCAGUUUGGAGUAUUUCUCUUGUAGUGUCUAGUUCAGUGUACUCAUUUUUUCCCCAAUUUGUUUGACACUUUUUUUUUGUAUAUCACGAAAAUUGACAAAUUUUUGUACUUAGAGAUUAUUUAAUCUUCCACAUUCAUUUUGUCCUAAUACGAAUCGACAUGAUUUUUCAUGAUCGAAAUGAAUAAAAAUACAACUACAAUUUGGUACUAAGGGUGCUUUUGACAUUUUAUGCAUAUUUUAAUUUUUUAAAGAUAACGUGUCCAUUCGAAUUUCCAAACAAAUGGAUGUGAGACAAAGAGAUUAAUAAACCAUUGUCAAAUCGAUUUAAUUUGUAUACAAUAACAUUUUAGAAAAAUUUGCACUAUCAAUAUAUCUUUACUUGUCACAUUAAAUAACCUAUCUUAAUUUUCAAAUUAUUAAUUUCAAUUUUAUGUGUCACACCUCCUUUUUCCCGAAGGGGAUAGAGAGUUUUUCCAAUUGAAUUGACAUUAAUCGAAAUGAAAUUAUUUAUUCAGAGUCGUCACUUGGGAUAAUUUAUGGUGUCCUAAGUCACCGGUUUAUUUCAAAUCCCAAAUCGAGGAAAUUUGACUAUGUUUUAAAGUCUGCAAAAACCAGAAGACCGGGUAAGGAAUUCUGUUAACCCGGAAGAAGGUGUUAGGCAUUCCCGAGUUCCGUGAUUUUAGCACGGUCGCUCAACUAUUAAUAAUUGGCUUAAUAAUCUGAUUUAUUACAUGUUUUAGAACCUAUUAUGCAUUUUUACCUUUUAAAACCGCUUUUAAUUAUUUAUGAAAUUAUUUGAACAAGUCGCGAUGUCGCGCACUCGUUUGUUUUUGUACACAUUGCGAAUCGCGCCACGUAAAACACAUCCAUAAUUUAUAACAUGUUAAUUUUUAUUAUUCGAAGUUAUGGUCGAGCACAUGAAAUGCACACCCAAAUUUGGAUUUAUGUAUCAUGACCAUGCCACAGGAACUGUACUCAUAGUCACGAUGAUUUAUUAUUAAUCACGCCUAAAGCAAGCUACGAUAUUUAUGAAUAUUAACGGCCAAGCAUGCUCCUAACGGUCAAAACAAUUGAAUAAUGCAAUAAAGGUUACAGUUUCAAUAUUUCAUUUCAAUUUAGCCCAACGUCCCUACGCCCGACAUGAAAGCUCAUUUAAAUAUAAGUCCAACAAAGCACUCAAGAAAAACAAAUAGCAUCCAAACAAAUAACACAUCGUGCAGCAAAUUGCUCCUGCGAUAACAUAAGGUUAUUUAAAACACGAUUCUAGCCCACUAAUAUACCAAACCAAUCUAUAGAAAAUUUCAGAGAAUUCAAGCCUAACAUAUCCAAACUCACUUUGUUACUUAAACAAAAUUAAUCCAAAUCUUACUUCCAAUUUUAAGACUUAUACUUAUCAAAUGUAGAACUAGAUUGAACAAACUAAAAUUCCCUUCAUCUUUGUUAUCAAAUGUCACUGCCCAGAGAGAAUGCUAAGCACAAAAGGAACGAGAAUCUGACAACAAAUUAAGCUCAAAUUCAUUUUAGACAUAGACCAACACAGAGGAACAUGAAUCAGAUAACCAAUCAAACUUUAAUUCAUUUGAAAUAAAGAGUGAGACAGAAGAAAUGAACCUUGAUUGAAAAAUAAAAUCGGCAAACAAGAACUGCACCCGAACCUCGAGCGGAACCUCAGACUCUAACCUCGAACAGAUUUUGGAAUUUUUGUUUUAGGCGAUGAGCGAUGAAGCUGUGUGCUGAGACCCGUUUCCUUUUGCUCUCCCCGUUGCUUUGUCCGUUCCCUCAACUCCCUCUGUUUCGUGACCUCCUCUCUUUAUGGGUGGUGUCUUCCGGUGUUAAUGGCUGAUUUACGGUGGCUUUAGGGGGUUGAAUGGGCUAUUUUUGGGGCUGGACUUUGGUGGAGGUUUGUGUUGAUUACGGUGGAGAAGAUAGGUUCUUGAAUUUUUCCGUUCCUUUUCCUUUUGUUCCCCUGUUUUUCUCUGUUUUUGUUCUGUUUGCCGUCGUGAGUGGAGUUGAAGGGUAGUGUUGAAGUUGGUGGUAAUGGGUGUUUAAUAGAGAUUAAAGUAGAGUGGGAAAUUAGGUGGCGUCCAUGGAGUUGAACUGUGGCAUCUCUCUCUUUUUUCUAAUCCCGUUCCCAAACCCUCUGCUUUUCUCUCGUCCUCUAGGCCUCUCUUUUCUCUCUUUGCUCUAUCUGUUUUUUCUCCUUUUUUGUUUUUCCCAGCCCCCUUUGUGUGUGGAAGAUCUAUAGGAAC
rnacentral:lncRNA from 1 species